UACGUAGGGGGCGAGCGUUGUUCGGAAUCAUUGGGCGUAAAGGGCGUGUAGGCGGUUUGUUAAGUCAUGUGUGAAAUCCCUCGGCUCAACCGGGGAACGACGCAUGAAACUGGCAAGCUAGAGUACCAAAGAGGGGGGUGGAAUUCCCGGUGUAGCGGUGAAAUGCGCAGAUAUCAGGAAGAACACCCGUGGCGAAGGCGGCUCUCUGGGACGGUACUGACGCUGAGACGCGAAAAGCGUGGGGAGCGAACAGG
rnacentral:rRNA from 1 species